AAGCAUUUCCCCUGUGUAGGCGCUCCCGGGGGCUCCACAUGAGGUCAGUGCUGGGGUGGCUUUGCCAGGGUCAGAAGGCUGUUCUUCCAGGAAGGGCUGCAGAGACCCUGGGAACGGGACCAGCCCAGCUCACAAGUAUGAAGAGAAUGUCGGAGAGGAAGUGGUGGCUGUGAGUCAGCAUGAGUCAUCUCGUUCCAAUGAGAACGGAGACUGAGCCGUGCGGACGUGAUGGGGAAUGGAGGGAAGUCAUGACAGCCGGCUGCUCGGGCGGAGGGCUGGCAUUCCAGGCGGGCUGUGGCUGAGCCAGCGUGAGCCUCAGUCCUCCGCAGCUCGGGUGGCGGGAAGGUGGAGCCAGCCGCUUCUCCCCGAAUAACUGGGAGAUGAAACAGGAAGCUCUAUGACACAGUUGAUCGAAAAUGACACAGACACAGAAAAAUCAGGACUCGGCCCCCUCCAGUGCCUCUACCUGCUGCCCACAGCCGGAGUGCAGGUGAAGGGUUUCCCGCUGGGGCCUGAUCCUAACUGCUGUGGACUCCAAGGCCCUCCACGUUGACCGAUGAUGUGUCUGUGAUGUGGUCAUGGUCUAGUCUGGCCGGUUUUCUAUUUAUCUAGCCAGCCCCUGUGUGUCUUAAUUAUCUUUCCUUCAUUCCAAGCAAAACUCAAGAAAAAUGAAUUGUUUUCUUAUUAGCUAUACCCUGCAUUAAUGGAAAGGACACCAAAGAGCAUUUGAGAUUGAUUUCUAUAGCAGCACGAGUAAACCCUGCCCUAACCACACAGAUCAUGAGGGCAUCAUUAGAAGAGUGUUGAACUUGACUGUCUUAUUACUGAGCCUUGUUUGCCCUGCCUUUUUCUUCUGCAGCCCCAGAAGGCCUCCCUUGAGUCAGUAUUGGCACAUUAACAUUUGAGGAAAACAUUGCGAACUCUCUUUCCACAUUACUAUGGUCAUGGCCUACAAGUGGCGAUCCCCAAAAUCGUCACCAAACUUGAGCUUUCUGCCGAAGACCUCUGCUUUCUCAGCUGCCUCCUUCUCUGCCCCCACCCAUCGGUCACCCAUUCACUACUUCAUCCCACAGGGUUUCUUUGGGGCAUACUGUGUGCUACAUUCUGGAGACAAUUUGGGUGGGACCAACUCUGCCCUGGUCUUCUCAGCACCUCUAGCCUCCAUAUGAGUGGGUCCUGCUGGGACCUUUCUCACAAACUAUAGGGGAGCACUGGGCAAUUCAUCGUGGAUAAACAGCACACUCCCUUUAUUUACAUGGGUUCUUUAAUCCGCCUGCAAACCUGAGCCCCCAGAAUUGGCAACUCAACAUUCUGCAGAAUGGGUAAGUGUCAAAGCAUUCCUUCAGUGGAGUACUACCCUUGUCCCCAGCCCUUAAUGGGACAACUCAGUCCUCUUGGGGGCCUGGCCAGAGAACCCAUGGGUAGCAGCCUUCCAGCUCUUCUGUCAGCCUUCACUUUUAAGCUUAGCAGAUGUCCACGAAUGAUUUAAAAGGAUAGUGUUGUACCCUUUCAUGCUGCUCAGAAUUAACUUCUCAGUCCAUCAUGCUUGUCAUCUCAACCCUCCCUCCUGCAUGGCACGAUGUACGCUGUGGUGUAUGUCCAGGUCUCAGCCCUGAUGCCC